rnacentral:rRNA from 1 species
UACAGAGGGUGCGAGCGUUAAUCGGAAUUACUGGGCGUAAAGCGUGCGUAGGUGGUGAGUUAAGUCUGUCGUGAAAGCCCCGGGCUCAACCUGGGAAUGGCGAUGGAUACUGGCUCGCUAGAGUGCGGUAGAGGAGAGUGGAAUUCCCGGUGUAGCAGUGAAAUGCGUAGAGAUCGGAAAGAACACCAACGGCGAAAGCACUCUGCUGGGCCGACACUGACACUGAGAGACGAAAGCUAGGGGGAGCGAAUGGG